UAGGGAAUCUUCGGCAAUGGACGGAAGUCUGACCGAGCAACGCCGCGUGAGUGAAGAAGGUUUUCGGAUCGUAAAGCUCUGUUGUAAGAGAAGAACGAGUGUGAGAGUGGAAAGUUCACACUGUGACGGUAUCUUACCAGAAAGGGACGGCUAACUACGUGCCAACAGCCGCGGUAAUACGUAGGUCCCGAGCGUUGUCCGGAUUUAUUGGGCGUAAAGCGAGCGCAGGCGGUUAGAUAAGUCUGAAGUUAAAGGCUGUGGCUUAACCAUAGUAGGCUUUGGAAACUGUUUAACUUGAGUGCAAGAGGGGAGAGUGGAAUUCCAUGUGUAGCGGUGAAAUGCGUAGAUAUAUGGAGGAACACCGGUGGCGAAAGCGGCUCUCUGGCUUGUAACUGACGCUGAGGCUCGAAAGCGUGGGGAGCAAACAGGAUUAGAUACCCUGGUAGUCCACGCUGUAAACGAUGAGUGCUAGGUGUUAGACCCUUUCCGGGGUUUAGUGCCGUAGCUAACGCAUUAAGCACUCCGCCUGGGGAGUACGACCGCAAGGUUG
rnacentral:rRNA from 1 species